AAGAACCUUACCAGCCCUUGACAUCCCGGUCGCGGGAACGAGAGAUCGAUCCCUUCAGUUCGGCUGGACCGGAGACAGGUGCUGCAUGGCUGUCGUCAGCUCGUGUCGUGAGAUGUUGGGUUAAGUCCCGCAACGAGCGCAACCCUCGCCCUUAGUUGCCAUCAUUCAGUUGGGCUCUCUAGGGGGACUGCCGGUGAUAAGCCGCGAGGAAGGUGGGGAUGACGUCAAGUCCUCAUGGCCCUCACGGGCUGGGCUACACACGUGCUACAAUGGCGGUGACAGUGGGACGCAAUGGGGCAACCCUGCGCAAAUCUCAAAAAGCCGUCUCAGUUCGGAUUGUGCUCUGCAACUCGAGCACAUGAAGUUGGAAUCGCUAGUAAUCGCAGAUCAGCACGCUGCGGUGAAUACGUUCCCGGGCCUUGUACACACCGCCCGUCACACCAUGGGAGUUGGCUUUACCUGAAGACGGUGCGCUNACCGCAAGGAAGCAGCCUGCCACGGUAGGGUCAGUGACUGGGGUGAAGUCGUAACAAGGUAGCCGUA
rnacentral:rRNA from 1 species